UACGUAGGGUGCAAGCGUUGUCCGGAAUUAUUGGGCGUAAAGAGCUCGUAGGCGGUUUGUCGCGUCUGCUGUGAAAACUCGGGGCUUAACCCCGGGCCUGCAGUGGGUACGGGCAGACUAGAGUGCGGUAGGGGAGACUGGAAUUCCUGGUGUAGCGGUGAAAUGCGCAGAUAUCGGGAGGAACACCGGUGGCGAAGGCGGUUCUCUGGGCCUGUACUGACGCUGAGGAGCGAAAGCGUGGGGAGCGAACAGG
rnacentral:rRNA from 1 species